rnacentral:rRNA from 1 species
CGUAGGUGGCAAGCGUUGUCCGGAUUUAUUGGGUUUAAAGGGUGCGUAGCGGCCCUGUAAGUCAGUGGUGAAAUACUCCAGCUUAACUGGAGGGGUGCCAUUGAUACUGCAGGGCUUGAGUACAGAUGAAGUAGGCGGAAUUGACGGUGUAGCGGUGAAAUGCAUAGAUAUCGUCAAGAACUCCGAUAGCGAAGGCAGCUUACUAAGCUGUAACUGACGCUGAGGCACGAAAGUGUGGGGAUCAAACAGGAUUAGAUACCCUGGUAGUCCACACUGUAAACGUUGAUGACUCGAUGUUGGCGAUACACAGCCAGCGUCCAAGAGCAAUCGUUAAGUCAUCCACCUGGGGAGUACGCCGGCAACGGUG